AGGUUCUUUGUAUACAUAAUUUAAGUUGAUUUAUACCCUUGCACUUAUUUUGAAGUAAUCACUGCGAUUCAAGGAAUGUAAACAGUUCUUGUGUCCCUUCUAAAAAAUGUUCUCAGCUGAAGGUUGGUUUGGAAAUCUUGCUGGUUGUAGGAAAGAUGUUUAUUAAAAAAAUAGACUCUUUCAAA